UCUCCCUACUUCGCCUUUUCAUG
rnacentral:miRNA from 1 species